rnacentral:misc_RNA from 1 species
UUACAAAUCUAAAAAAAUUUUACUACGAAAUGACCUAAUUUGCUAAAUAAUUUUUUUAUGUUGGAUACCAUUAAUUAUUUUGGCAGAAAAGUGCAAUGAAUUUAGAAUUCAUAAAUGUAAGGUGAUCUUACAGGUAGUAC